rfam:Cricetulus griseus cell line CHO-K1, whole genome shotgun sequence.
GGGGGUGUAGCUCAGUAGGAAGAGUGCGUGCCUGGUUUGCAUCAAGUGCUGGGUUCAAUCCUUGGCACUUCCU